ACGCUGGCGGCGUGCCUAAUACAUGCAAGUAGAACGCUGAAGAGAGGAGCUUGCUCUUCUUGGAAGAGUUGCGAACGGGUGAGUAACGCGUAGGUAACCUGCCUUGUAGCGGGGGAUAACUAUUGGAAACGAUAGCUAAUACCGCAUAACAAUGGGUGACCCAUGUCAUUCAUUUGAAAGGGGCAACUGCUCCACUACAAGAUGGACCUGCGUUGUAUUAGCUAGUAGGUGAGGUAACGGCUCACCUGGGCGACGAUACAUAGCCGACCUGAGAGGGUGAUCGGCCACACUGGGACUGAGACACGGCCCAGACUCCUACGGGAGGCAGCAGUAGGGAAUCUUCGGCAAUGGGGGCAACCCUGACCGAGCAACGCCGCGUGAGUGAAGAAGGUUUUCGGAUCGUAAAGCUCUGUUGUAAGUCAAGAACGAGUGUGAGAGUGGAAAGUUCACACUGUGACGGUAGCUUACCAGAAAGGGACGGCUAACUACGUGCCAGCAGCCGCGGUAAUACGUAGGUCCCGAGCGUUGUCCGGAUUUAUUGGGCGUAAAGCGAGCGCAGGCGGUUUGAUAAGUCUGAAGUUAAAGGCUGUGGCUCAACCAUAGUUCGCUUUGGAAACUGUCAAACUUGAGUGCAGAAGGGGAGAGUGGAAUUCCAUGUGUAGCGGUGAAAUGCGUAGAUAUAUGGAGGAACACCGGUGGCGAAAGCGGCUCUCUGGUCUGUAACUGACGCUGAGGCUCGAAAGCGUGGGGAGCGAACAGGAUUAGAUACCCUGGUAGUCCACGCCGUAAACGAUGAGUGCUAGGUGUUGGGUCCUUUCCGGGAUUCAGUGCCGCAGCUAACGCAUUAAGCACUCCGCCUGGGGAGUACGACCGCAAGGUUGAAACUCAAAGGAAUUGACGGGGGCCCGC
rnacentral:rRNA from 1 species